CCAGAGCCCCGUCGGGCUCCCGGACGAGCGGCGCCGUACCCGGUCAGCGACAAGACGGCGACCU
rnacentral:ncRNA from 1 species